rnacentral:rRNA from 1 species
AGCAGCUCAUUGGGUGUAAAGCGUGCGCAGGCGGUUUCGUAAGACAGAGGUGAAAUCCCCGGGCUCAACCUGGGAACUGCCUUUGUGACUGCAAGGCUGGAGUGCGGCAGAGGGGGAUGGAAUUCCGCGUGUAGCAGUGAAAUGCGUAGAUAUGCGGAGGAACACCGAUGGCGAAGGCAAUCCCCUGGGCCUGCACUGACGCUCAUGCACGAAAGCGUGGGGAGCAAACA